rnacentral:rRNA from 1 species
ACCAGACUUGCCCUCCAAUAGAUCCUCGUUAAAGGAUUUAAAGUGUACUCAUUCCGAUUACGGAGCCUCUAAAGAGUCCCGUAUCGUUAUUUUUCGUCACUACCUCCCCGAGCUGGGAGUGGGUAAUUUGCGCGCCUGCUGCCUUCCUUGGAUGUGGUAGCCGUUUCUCAGGCUCCCUCUCCGGAAUCGAACCCUAAUUCCCCGUUACCCGUGACUGCCAUGGUAGUCCAAUACACUACCAUCGAGAGCUGAUAGGGCAGAAACUUGAAUGAUUUAGCGAAGAGAACCUCGCUCCGAUCAGUUACUAUGAAUCAUCACAAUAGACCCGAAGGAAUAUUGGUUUGAUAUCUAAUAAAUACAACCUUUCCAAAAGUCAGGUGUUACAGCAUGUAUUAGCCCUAGAAUUACCACGGUUAUCCAUGUAGAAUUCAAUUAUCAAAUAAACUAUAACUGUUUUAAUGAGCCAUUCGCAGUUUCACUGUAUACUAUUUAUACUUAGACAUGCAUGGCUUAAUCUUUAAGACAAGCAUAUGACUACUGGCAGGAUCAACCAG